AUGAAAUGUAAAUAUGUACUCCCUCCGUCCCGAAAAACAUGUCGUGAGGGCAUUUUUGCAGAAAAGACCUCUAGUUUCUCCCGACCAAACCCGCACUCCUUGUCCUCCUCCUCUGACAGAACCAGCAGCUGCGCUGCUCUCCGCCGCCGGAGCUUCGUUGCUCCCUGCCACCGCAGCUGCCCUUCUCCCCGCCGCUGCAGCUGCCCUGCUCCCCCGCUCUCCCGCCGCAUCUGCCUCCUGCUCCGCCGCCGCAGCUGUCGCUCACCUGCCUCCUCAAGCUCCCCCCUUCCUCAAAAAAAAUCUUUGAUUUCCCAGCUACCGCCGCGCUCUGCUCCGGCUGCGUCGGAACCGCCGUCGGAGAGCCCGGAGGCGCUGGAUCCAGACCACCACCAACAACCUAGAGGCCGGCGAGCCCGACGACGACAGGAGAUGCAGCAGGCUAAACACCGACGAGCCCGGCGACAACGGCAAGCUAAAGGUCGUGGAUUUGGGAGCGUGGAAGACGACGGCGACAGCUCCACGAGCAAUACGGUUGCGGCGGGGUCUUCUUCGUUGUUUCUCUGGUGGAAAACCCGCGCCUGCGACACCGCGGCUGGGCUGUCCAGUGGGUAG
rnacentral:rRNA from 1 species